CAAUUGGUUUUUUUGAAAACCACCAAAAAUACUCAUGUGUGAACAC
rfam:Phoenicopterus ruber ruber contig73648, whole genome shotgun sequence.